rnacentral:rRNA from 1 species
UACGAAGGGGGCAAGCGUUGUUCGGAAUUACUGGGCGUAAAGGGCGCGUAGGCGGCCGAUCAAGUCAGGCGUGAAAUCCCCGGGCUCAACCCGGGAACUGCGUCCGAUACUGGUGGGCUCGAAUCCGGGAGAGGGAUGCGGAAUUCCAGGUGUAGCGGUGAAAUGCGUAGAUAUCUGGAGGAACACCGGUGGCGAAGGCGGCAUCCUGGACCGGUAUUGACGCUGAGGCGCGAAAGCCAGGGGAGCAA